UUAAAAACUAAGCCGAAUGUGCUCUUUGUCCCAUGGGGGCCCCAGUGUGCCAUGGCUGCAAACAGUAGCCUCCCUUGGUAGUGUAUGCAGCCUGUUGAUUGUAUGGGUUGCCCUAAGGGACCUUGGGGACAGCC
rnacentral:snoRNA from 1 species